rnacentral:lncRNA from 1 species
GCAACCCAAUUUUUUUACUUUGUUUUAACUAAUUUUCAAUUUUUUUUAGGAAUAAAGGAUCGCUCUGUCUGGAAGAACCUGUCAAUAAUCUGGUCUGGCUGAAGACUUAAAACUUAGUACUUUCUAGGAGGCAACCUAGUUUUUAAUUUUUGCUUUUACUUUCUUUUACAUUAUGUUUAGGUUAAUCAAGACUUGCUUUGUACGGAUUUGAAGGCAAUAUUGGCUA